AGCUACAGCAGCAACAACUACUGAAGCUGCAACAACAACUACUGAAGCUACAGCAGCAACAACUACUGAAGAUUGCAGCAUCAUUGUGGCUGCAACAACAACUACUGAAGCUGCAACAACAACUACUGAAGCUACAGCAACAACAACUACUGA